CAGAGAAAAUUGAAACCCCUAAAAAAAAUUAGAUAUACAAAAGCCAAACAACAAUUCCAAUUCUAUAAAUUAAAAAAUAAAAAAUUAAAAAAAAAAAGACCCGAUUUUUAUUAUCUGUAAUAAAUGAAGAGAUCAGUCAAGAAAAAAAAAGGGUUUUGCUUUUUCUCGGUUACAGAUUUUGGCGGAUUCUCUGAAUGUAUGUAUGUAUGUGUGUGUGUAUGCACAGAAUCAAUCGAUAGAGAGAGAGAGAGAGAGAAGGGUCUAAAUGCAAAUAAUUUUUUUGAGGGUUUUCUGUAACAAAUUCUUGAUCACAAGUGGCAGUGGUUUUUGGGUGGUGGUUUACGGAAGGCACUAACAGGUGGCCUUGGUUUUUGGCUCCUUUUACACACAGUGAAGUGUGUGACUGUGUGCAUAUACAUAUAGCAUAAUAAUAUGUAAUUUUGUAGAGAGAGAGAGAGAGAGAAGAAAGAGAAUUGAAAGUGUAUUAAAGCGAGGGGGCGUU
rnacentral:lncRNA from 1 species